rnacentral:ncRNA from 1 species
CGCAGGAGAGAGAGCCGAUUACAACUUGGCUCCGCCGAAGGCGCAAACUCCCAUAAACGCUCAGGCUCAUGUACUGCGAC